ensembl:snRNA U6 U6 spliceosomal RNA
GUGCUCACUUUGGCAGAACAUAUACUAAAAUUGGAACAAUACAGAGAAAAUUAGCAUGGCCCUGUGUAAGAAUGACAUGCAAAUUCAUGAAAUGUUCUAUAUUAAA